GUUUCCGUAGUGUAGUGGUUAUCACGUUAAGCCUAACACGCGAAAAGGUCCCGGUUCGAGACCGGCGGAAACA
rnacentral:tRNA from 1 species